CACGUAGGCACCAAGCGUUGUCCGGAUUUAUUGGGCGUAAAGAGCUCGUAGGCGGUUCAGUAAGUCGGGUGUGAAAACUCUGGGCUUAACCCAGAGCCGCCACCCGAUACUGCUGUGACUUGAGUUCGGUAGGGGAGCAGGGAAUUCCUAGUGUAGCGGUGAAAUGCGCAGAUAUUAGGAGGAACACCGGUGGCGAAGGCGCUGCUCUGGGCCGAAACUGACGCUGAGGAGCGAAAGCGUGGGUAGCAAACAGG
rnacentral:rRNA from 1 species